GGGGGAUAUUGCGCAAUGGGGGAAACCCUGACGCAGCAACGCCGCGUGAAGGAAGAAGGUCUUCGGAUUGUAAACUUCUUUUGUCAGGGACGAGGAAAGUGACGGUACCUGACGAAUAAGCUCCGGCUAACUACGUGCCAGCAGCCGCGGUAAUACGUAGGGAGCGAGCGUUGUCCGGAUUUACUGGGUGUAAAGGGUGCGUAGGCGGCCGAGCAAGUCAGUUGUGAAAACUAUGGGCUUAACCCAUAACGUGCAAUUGAAACUGUCCGGCUUGAGUGAAGUAGAGGUAGGCGGAAUUCCCGGUGUAGCGGUGAAAUGCGUAGAGAUCGGGAGGAACACCAGUGGCGAAGGCGGCCUACUGGGCUUUAACUGACGCUGAGGCACGAAAGCAUGGGUAGCAAAC
rnacentral:rRNA from 1 species